rfam:Pseudomonas fulva 12-X, complete genome.
UGAGACUGUCGCUUGCGGCUGUCUCCAGAUGAGAGGAUGCCCACAUGGCACUCAGCGUUGAAGAAAAAGCCCAGAUCGUUAACGACUACAAGCAAUCCGAA